rnacentral:rRNA from 1 species
UACGUAGGGUGCAAGCGUUGUCCGGAAUUACUGGGCGUAAAGAGCUCGUAGGUGGUUUGUCGCGUUGUUCGUGAAAACUCACAGCUCAACUGUGGGCGUGCGGGCGAUACGGGCAGACUGGAGUACUGCAGGGGAGACUGGAAUUCCUGGUGUAGCGGUGGAAUGCGCAGAUAUCAGGAGGAACACCGGUGGCGAAGGCGGGUCUCUGGGCAGUAACUGACGCUGAGGAGCGAAAGCGUGGGGAGCGAACAGG